rnacentral:tRNA from 1 species
GUGAAUGUGGCUUAGUGUAGAGUGCUUGUCUUGCAUAUAUGAAGCCCUGAGUUCGAGUCCUCAGUAUCCAUA